rnacentral:tRNA from 3 species
GGAGAGGUGGCCGAGUGGCCGAAGGCGCUCCCCUGCUAAGGGAGUAUAGGCUUUAUACCCUAUCGAGGGUUCGAAUCCCUCCCUCUCCGCCA